rnacentral:rRNA from 1 species
UACGUAGGGGGCUAGCGUUGUCCGGAAUCAUUGGGCGUAAAGGGCGCGUAGGCGGCUGGGAUAGUCCGGUGUGAAAUCCACAGGCUUAACCUGUGAAUGCCGCUGGAAACUGUCUGGCUAGAGUCCGGAAGGGGCGAGUGGAAUUCCUGGUGUAGCGGUGAAAUGCGCAGAUAUCAGGAGGAACACCAAUGGCGAAGGCAGCUCGCUGGGACGGUACUGACGCUGAGGCGCGAAAGCGUGGGGAGCGAACAGG